GAUGAACGCUGGCGGCGUGCUUAACACAUGCAAGUCGAACGGUGAACGAGGGAGCUUGCUCCCUCCGGAUCAGUGGCGAACGGGUGAGUAACACGUGAGCAAUCUGCCCCGAACUCUGGGAUAAGCGCUGGAAACGGCGUCUAAUACCGGAUACGACGCGCGAAGGCAUCUUCUGCGCGUGGAAAGAAUUUCGGUUCGGGAUGGGCUCGCGGCCUAUCAGCUAGUUGGUGAGGUAACGGCUCACCAAGGCGACGACGGGUAGCCGGCCGGGGAGGGUGAGCGGCCACACUGGGACUGAGCCACGGCCCAGACUCCUACGGGAGGCAGCAGUGGGGAAUAUUGCCCAAUGGGAGCAAGCCUGAUGCAGCAACGCCGCGUGAGGGACGACGGCCUUCGGGUUGUAAACCUCUUUUAGUAGGGAAGAAGCGAAAGUGACGGUACCGGAAGAAUAAGGACCGGCUAACUACGUGCCAGCCGCCGCAGUAAAAC
rnacentral:rRNA from 1 species